GACGCAGCGAACCACCUCACCUGCGCAUCGCUCCUCGCCAACGCGUGCGCCCUAAGCCACCAGUCAUAUGUCACGUAAUAAAAGAACGAGGUUUUCUAAGUAGAAGAAUGAGCAAUAGCUCAUUCAUAUGCUUUAUUAACUGCAGAUUACAAACUGAGGUUACUGACCGGGGUUUUUAUUUCUUUAUUAUGACUCAUAUCUUAUGGGUGAGGGUCUGGCUGUUGUCUUUUCUUUUAAUUAUCACAAUGCUAGGUGUUAUCGAUAUAUCCGAUGUCAGCAGAUGCCUGCCUCUUGGGUGGUCGUUACACAACAAUGGCAUCUAUUUUAUCCAUGUGCGCGUUAUAUUAAUAAUUAUUCCAUAUUUAGGAAUUCGCAAGUGACAUUUCUUCGCAAGUGUAAAUAAGUCCCUCAACAACGGAUACUAUAUUACCCGCAAUACGCUCAACUUAUAAUCUCCACACGAGUAGAGAAUCGUUCCCAUGAAGUGCACCGUUAAAUUAUGAUGUCAAUAUCGGCAAACCUCUCCGCAGCCCGAGAAAUAAUGAGUGAACAAUUGACAGCCUAUACCUAAUACAACUACCUAAUACCUAAUACCAACUAUAUCUAAUACAUAGUCAUCUAUUAUAGUAAAAUAGCCUAAUAUAUAAUAAAUCUCAUAGUACCAUAUCAAUAGUACAUUAAUAAAUAAAAUAGAUAUUAUAAUAAGGUUCACUUACUAAAUAAUCAUUCAAAUCUACUUUCAGAUAUCGAAAAACCUCGUUCACCUAGCACUACGCCAGCCAAGGCUUACCUCUCAAGUAAGAACAAGAUAAUUCUUCAUUCUACUUUCUAAGAUCAGCUCCUUCUUUGCUGUUACGUCAGGCGACCCUCUACCUGGACCAGGCCAUACACCGCGGGCCAGACGGACACCAGACGUCCGCUCAUCCUUACGACGUACCCUCAAUAGCCUAAGUACCCGUCAUAAAACCCGAGUAAUUUGCUUGCUAAGGUCCUUCAGACUCAACAAAUGUCUUUUUCUAAAUUAGUUUCUAAAGACUAUUGCUUACUACGGCUUGACAAGGGAAAGUUGGGUUUUUCCACGUACGAUGCUUCCUAAUAACAACUUUCUAUCGAGGGUAGCUAAGAUCCUUCCUAGUCCACCAACCUCCGUUUAUCCAAUCAGAAGCAAUGUAUACUGCCCUCACUUUCCUGACCAAAAAUGUCAUGAACAAAUCCGAUGGUCCUGUGCGCUAGACACACCCAUCGCUAGCUUUCCUCCAACAUAGCAUCGUCGCUGUAACCUACUUUUCCUCCGAAAUCCAGAGAGUCAAGUCAACUACUUCUCCUACGACAUCCAAAGAGUCAAGUCAACUACUUCUCCUACGACAUCCAGAGAGUCAAGUCAACUACUUCUACGACACCAGUCUCGAUCAAACGUCAGCUCAAGUCAGUGUUCACCAAGAACGAUUCAUGGCGUCGAUUAGUCAAUCGUAACGGGAAUUUACGACUCCCGUUGGCGCGCUUCCUCGAGAUCGCAUCUCCCCACGAACGUGCGAAUUUACAUUUGCUCCUCAACACAUUCAUCACCCAAUUCUCUGCCUCGUAGGAGCACGCACCCACUAGAAAUAUCGAAAACCUCGUUCCCUAAACACUACGCAAGCCAAGGCUUACCUCUCAAGAUAUCCUGUUCUACCUCCUAAAAUCGAAACCUUCUUCGCACAUCACCGCACUUCGCCCAAGUCUUACCUCGUAGGGGUACACUCCUAUUAAGAGCAUCAAGACCUCCUUUGCAUGACACAAGGCCAUCAUUGAUUUAUCAUUAUCUCUAAAAAUAUCAAACCUCGUUCCCCUAACACUACCAAGCAAGAACUUAGCUCUCAAGAAAGUGCAAAAUUAUCCUUCAUUCUACCUCUCAAAAACGAAACCUUCUUUACUCAUCCAACGCACAUUCUUCGCACAAAUCUUUACCUCGUAAGGGUAUGUACACCUUUCUAUAUACUACACUAACUAAAUGAAAAAAAAUAAUCAUCUAGAAAAACAUUAUAACUAAUCGUCAAACUCAUUUCUUUCUUUACAGGUAACGACUCUUCGACUUUCAAGCACAACAUAACCUAAAAUUUUUCGAACUAUUUACACGCCUUAAUCAAAAACUUUUAUAAUUUUAUCGCACUACUCCGCCCUACAGGCUUACACCCUAUGCAAACAACUUCACUGUCUGUCCACCUACGCAAAAAAAUAUCCUCCAUCGCUCAAUUUAAACACUAAACACCUACGAUUCCCCAAAGGGUAUUAAUUAUAAAUCCGCGGUAAUUCAGCAAAAAAACACACAUCCCUCAUGUAAAAUUGUAAAUUCACACGCACUCUAUAUUAUUUCAAUCACUCCCGCAGCCACGGAAAGCUCAACUUCUCCAUCGUUUUAAAUUAUAUUGUACACAGCAUCGACAUAACCGCCUGUAACCUCAAGUACCAAUUUUUUAAUUUUCGCCGAAUAUUAGUAGUUACAGGCAGCUAAAUCACUCCACUAAGCAAUAAUCACGCAUCGCCGUUCUCUUAGUGUCCACUGAAAGGAUCAAAUUCCUCAUCUCAUUUGAACUUGUAAUCAAUAAAUCUCCUCAUCCUGAUCAAACUUACCUGUUGACGAUUCGAACACUCCGACUGGGGAUGCUACGUGCCUGGUGAGUUUUCCUAGGUAUUGAUAAAAUUGGGACGGUUUCCUUUCGCCCAUUUCUUCAGACUCCAGCAACUUUCGUAUUCUCGUGCUGUCUGAAUCAGCCAGUUUCCGGAUAAUUUCACUCUUUAAUUUUUCGUAUCGUUCCGUGGCUGAUAGACUCACUACUGCAUCCUCGACUUGCUGCAGGUGCCGAUUCUCGAGACAUUUGGCGAGGAUCACGAUUCGCAGUUGCUUAACAGUCGCAGCCUCUGGAACUUUUACGUUUACGGUGCAUCCUACCAUUUUGCUGCGUCAUGUCUCGGAUAUUCGGGGAUCGCGAUCGUGGUUUGCAACGACUGUCGAGGAGCAGCGCGCGAAUUUACGCUACUCGUCCGCGAACUUCGUGGCUGGGGGCGGUUCGAUUCCUCGCUGUCCGUUGUUGUCUGUCCGGGCUGUUCUGCGCUUAUUUCGUGGAUCCUGUCUGCCACCGUGGUGAGGUCAUUCGGAUUUGUUUCCAUUAUGGCAGCCAGGAUCCGUUGCAUAUUCACUGGGAGGCGGUUCUUCCAAAGCGUCAGAACGAGGUCGUCAGAAAUCGAUAAGGCGGCUAGCUUCUUCAAAUCUCUGUAGAACUGGGAGGGUGUCCUGUCUUCCAUUUUUUUACAUUCAAACAACCUCCGCACUCCUUUGCAGCAGCAUAGCGCAAACGUGGCAACGAUUCAUGUACGGAUUCUGGCCUGCUUUAGACUUCGUAUACGCGUACAUCGACGAUCUCUUGAUAGCCUCGGAAGACAAGCAGCAACGCCGCGAUCACUUGCGAAACUUCGAACGGUUAAAAGAUUACGGUGUCGUAAUUAACUCCGCGAAAUAUGAAUUUGGUUCGAGCGAAAUCACAUUUUUAGGAUACACCGUAAACGCCGAUGGAAUUAAGCCGCUGGUCGAGCGUGUUAAAGUGAUUGUGAACGUUCCAAAGCUCACGACUAAGCAACUGCGAAGGUACCCCGGUAUGAUUAACUUCUACCAAAGUUUCAUACCAGCGGCCGCAAAAAUCCUCCGACCACUCAACAAUUUACUAAAAGAUGCAAAAAAAAUUGACAGAUCACCGGUGAUCUCCUUCCGUCGCAGUUCGAAUGUUUUACAAAUAAGGUGAAGAAUUGAACUUUAGUAACCAGCCCAAGCUCAUUAUCACAUAUCUCGGACAAUUUAUAAUCGCACAGGGACAGUGCCGCGUUCGUCAUAAGAGAGUUGUACCAUUAUCGUGUCCUUAAAUCGUAGCCGAUGUCACAGACGAAAUUCGAGCAGCUGUAUAUAACAAACCGAAAUUCCGAACGCCUUAUCGCGUGUGACCGUCCGGUCAGCAUCCGUUCUCAGCCACCUGAGUGGCAUUCGAUCACUCCAGCCGUUCUCCGAAUUUUACACUAAGUAUAAACAAAACCUUCUCCCACUCCAACGAAUGGAAGAAUAUAGCUGCUCCCUUCAAAAUCAUCCAGUCAGUCUAAAAAAAAUUCUUAACUAAUCCAAGUAUCGAAAGUGUAUCAUCGCGAACCGAAAAAAUUGUAUAAAUUGAGUAAACAAUAAAAAGAACUUUAUCUCCUUUUCGGAAA